rnacentral:rRNA from 1 species
UACGUAGGGCGCAAGCGUUAUCCGGAAUUAUUGGGCGUAAAGAGCUCGUAGGCGGUUUGUCGCGUCUGCUGUGAAAGACCGGGGCUCAACUCCGGUUCUGCAGUGGGUACGGGCAGACUAGAGUGUGGUAGGGGAGACUGGAAUUCCUGGUGUAGCGGUGAAAUGCGCAGAUAUCAGGAGGAACACCGGUGGCGAAGGCGGGUCUCUGGGCCGAUACUGACGCUGAGGAGCGAAAGCGUGGGGAGCGAACAGG